rnacentral:rRNA from 1 species
CGUGAGCUGGGUUUAGACCGUCGUGAGACUAGGUUAGUUUUACCCUACUGAUUAUACCAUGUAAAUACAUGUUAUCGCCAUAGUAAUUCAACUCAGUACGAGAGGAACAGUUGAUUCGGACAAUUGGUCUUUUCAUUUAGCUGAUCAGCUAGUGAUGAGAAGCUACCAUCCGCAGGGUUAUGGCUGAACGCCUCUAAGUCAGAAUCCAUGCUAGCCAGGCGAUGAUAUUUUAAAACUUCUCCUGGUUCUCUUCGAUUUCACAUGAUGUAUCGAUAAGCUGUAUUUCUUCGGAAAUGCAGUUGUAUACCAUAGACUAGGUGUCGGAAGUACUGGAGAUCGACUCAGAUCUUUAGUCCUAAGAGCCUGAAUAAUAAUUUCACAUAUAAGAAUCAGGGUAAAUCCUUUGCAGACGAC